UGAGGAAUAUUGGUCAAUGGGCGAGAGCCUGAACCAGCCAAGUAGCGUGAAGGAUGACCGCCCUAUGGGUUGUAAACUUCUUUUGUGUGGGAAUAAAGUUUGCCACGUGUGGCAUUUUGUAUGUACCAUACGAAUAAGGAUCGGCUAACUCCGUGCCAGCAGCCGCGGUAAUACGGAGGAUCCGAGCGUUAUCCGGAUUUAUUGGGUUUAAAGGGAGCGUAGGCGGGACGUUAAGUCAGUUGUGAAAGUUUGCGGCUCAACCGUAAAAUUGCAGUUGAUACUGGCGUCCUUGAGUGCGGCAGAGGCAGGCGGAAUUCGUGGUGUAGCGGUGAAAUGCUUAGAUAUCACGAAGAACUCCGAUUGCGAAGGCAGCUUGCUGGACCGUAACUGACGCUGAUGCUCGAAAGUGCGGGUAUCAAACAGG
rnacentral:rRNA from 1 species